ensembl:lncRNA
UCUGUAAUAAGAACUUUAUUUUUCAACAAUAACAAAGAACAAAAUAUUUCAAAAGCAUAUUCAUAUGUUACAUCGACUGUACAGAGACUGGAUGGUGUGGGCUUUACUCUAAAUGGAAGGAUGCUAACAAAACGAGGAAACUAGGAAUAUUUAAGUCAUCUCAUGAAAAAAUAUGAAAUAUUCCAUGUCUAGGUACAAAAUAGAAAAAGGAUUAAGCAGAUUAUGGACUGAUACUAUACCCUGAUACAGUGUUUAGGCCUCUUAACUGUCACAACAUCAUUUACAAACAAAACAUGACAACAUUGCCAUCUUUCAAUAGCUAAACCUCUUGGCCUCUUUGGUUCCAUGAUUAGGUAUAAUACAUUUGAACAGAAUUCAAUUUUGCUUCUAUAAAAAUAACUUUUAUUUUUUCAAUGGCAGUUUCUAUUCAUUUUUUUAUGACUAGUCACGCAACUCCUCAGUGCAAAUACUCUAAGAACCAUUCGCUUUGAAGAAUAAGCAAAAGAUUACAGUGGCAAGUGAGCCUAGGGUUGGGCAUCGGGCAGGAGGCUGGAGAAAACACGAGAUAAUGAGCAGUAUCAAGUCUCAGGUAUUUCUCUUUACCCAGCGAAUAAGAGAAAAAUGUGUAACGAGGUUGUGAAAUAACAGGUCGCUGAAGCGUUUAACCUGAAAAUAUCAAAGUGACUGAGGCCUGAAAGUGUGUCUCAAAGUGUGUUAUGGUGCCAAACAGGCCGCGAUGGGAAUUCCGCUGGGAUGCAUUUAUUUAAAAAUCACUAUUCGUGCAUCGCAUUUGGGUCAAAGUUAGCCCCAGUUAGCCUCUUUUUACAUUUCAGAUGAUUAUUUUUCUAAUGGCAGUAAAACCUUUUUAGAUGAAAGAGAAGAAAAAACUCCAAUAGAUUAUUGGAUUGAGCUGGUAUAGCAAUGUACGGAUGACAUUGAAACAAACUUGUACAUUAUAUGUGCAGUUGUAGAACGAAUGUUGGUGCUGUUUGGAACCACUGAUUCAUAUUUUACAUGCAAAGUAAACAGUGUGCUGUAUCAGUAAAACGUGCAUCUAUGCAGAAGUGGACCUUUUAUGUCAAUACAGCAAGAUUACUCCCUUCCAAUAUUAUUUUUGAACCAACACCAAUACAUCAAUUGACACCAAACUCUAAAAAGUUAUAUUGGUGGAAGGAGUACCAGGGGGUCCUUGGACAGUUUUCUCCAUCGUAAGAACCUUUGGACUUGAAGAUAUAUUAGCUUAAGCUGCUGUGUUGGUUCAAUUUUACUGUGCAACAUAUUCAAUAUUUAGCCAACCAAAUCUCAAAAAAUUGCAAGAGUAAAUACAUUUAUUUAAAUAAAAUUCCAAACAUUGGUUUUUACUAGAUACACACACCACAAAGCAGUCAGCAACAGCUGACUAGUGCCCAUGCUAUUGUUUGGUCUGUUCUUGCUGUUGGCAAAGUGAUACACUUCAUCACUCUGAGAAAAUGUAUUAACGUACAGUAAUUAGCCUAUUUUUGUGGGUACUCUGUAACACUCAGGUCCUUCGCUGCUAUGUAAAUGUCAUUUUAGGUAGGUGGUUGCCAGGCAGCGUGAUAGAGUCAUUAAAAUGUUGAAGUUUUGUGGCUACAAAUUAUGUUAAUGUUGAGAAAUAAAAAUAUGCAAUGCUUUUAAAAGCAUUUAUUUGUGCAUAUAUUCUAAAAAUUGGGCAUUUUCACAUGUUGAUAGGUAGUUGCUAGGCAACAUAAUAUAUAUACAUAUAUGGGCCUUCAGGCAUCUAAGCUAUAUCAGUGUACAAAGUUUGGUUGCUCAACUCCCGGUCAUGUUGAAGGAGUUUCCAAACAAACAAAUACACAGAGAUUUGGUGUGUGCAUUUUUAGGUUUGAGGAUACUGAAUAAGUCAAACUGUUGCCCUGCUUUUGUUGUUGUUGUUGUUGCUUCUUUAACCAUAAAUCAAAGAAAAAUAAAUAGUGUUUCCUUCUUAAAAGAGAAGGAAUGUUUU